CGGAACUUCCAAGAGGCAUAAUUUCCGUUGCCAAGCUUGGCAAACGACGCUUUCCAGCCAUCCGCCAUUUUGUCUUUUCACUAACGUACACGCGAUCGCACCACAAAACACUCUUCGGGAAUCCAACACCGGAUCCUUCCCGGAAAAACAGUUUUCCACCGGAACACUUCACUAAUUACACUCCCGAGAACCUGGCGCCCAUAACCUGAAGGAUUGGAACGACCAGCAGAUGCGCAGAACCGGAGUAAAAACGGACCGUAAAGUAUUUCGGACAACUGAAAGAAAUAACGCGGCCGAUCUCUACACGCUAACUUUGAAGUACCCAUUAAAUGGGUUUCUUGUACCCAUUUUUAUUUCUAGUACUGAGUUGUCAGAAAAAGGGUAUUAUUUUUUGACACUAAAAAGGGUACGUUUUACUCUUCUUGAAGAAUGAGUUCCGUCAACAAUAAUGGGUAAAAAAGCCACUUGUCGUUGUUUGGGGCAGCAACAUUGAAAUUUUUUGCCGCUGUUCAUAUUGUAUUAAUUAAUUGAAAGAACAAUGCAAACCCCUCGAAGAAGCAUGAGAAGCAGCAAUUUAAGUGUUAUUUUUCAUCCAAGAUCUGGAACCGGAAGACACGCAGUAAGAUCCAGGAAUACAGAUGGACUCACAAGCAAGUCACCGUAUUGAUGUUCGAAUUGACCCUUUAUAAAUGAUCCAAUAAAAUGAUUUUUAUUAGACUGUA